UCGCUCAACUUUGUUAUUCACGUUCCUUUGUAACUCUAGAGAAUGGACUCGCUUCUGCGUGAAAGCCAUUGAGCCAAAUGGACUCGCUUUUUGGAAUGGAGGAUGUUCUGAGGAGAUAUGUCUUUGGGAAGAAGAAGACAACAGAGUUUGCUCACUUACAGUUGUAUCCAGGCAUCAAAUAGUUGAUAUUGACUAUUUUUACCAAGGUUUGGAAACAUGAUGUCCAGAAAAGGGAUACAGUGAUUGAUGCCACUUUUGGUAAUGGUUAUGAUACUUUAGCAAUGGUCAAUAUACUUGAUAAUGAAUUAGCCAGGGUUGUGUUUAUGCAGUGGAUAUUCAGAAUGAUGUUUAGAGAAUACUUCUUCUUUGCUGGAAGAGCUGCUCAAUCCAAACGAGCUGCCCUUUUCUCACAGUUCCAUUUAUUUGUUUAAC